rnacentral:tRNA from 1 species
GAGAAAGGCUCGCAGCAACGGAGACUGCUAAUCUUCGCUACCUUGGUUAAACCCCUAGGCUUACUCG